rnacentral:rRNA from 1 species
GACAUAGGUCGCAAACGUUAUCCGGAAUUAUUGGGCGUAAAGCGCGCGCAGGCGGUUUCUUAAGUCUGAUGUGAAAGCCCACGGCUCAACCGUGGAGGGUCAUUGGAAACUGGGGAACUUGAGUGCAGAAGAGAAGAGCGGAAUUCCACGUGUAGCGGUGAAAUGCGUAGAGAUGUGGAGGAACACCAGUGGCGAAGGCGGCUCUUUGGUCUGUAACUGACGCUGAGGCGCGAAAGCGUGGGGAGCAAACAGG